UGACCAUCUAGUUGGGGUCAACUACUCCA
rnacentral:piRNA from 1 species